UGAAACAUCUUCGGGUUGUGAGGUUAAGCGACUAAGCGUACACGGUGGAUGCCCUGGCAGUCAGAGGCGAUGAAGGACGUGCUAAUCUGCGAUAAGCGUCGGUAAGGUGAUAUGAACCGUUAUAACCGGCGAUUUCCGAAUGGGGAAACCCAGUGUGUUUCGCUGGAUCAAGCUGAAAAUUGAAACACUGAACAAUGAAAGUUGUUCGUGAGUCUCUCAAAUUUUCGCAACUCUGAAGUGAAACAUCUUCGGGUUGUGAGGUUAAGCGACUAAGCGUACACGGUGGAUGCCCUGGCAGUCAGAGGCGAUGAAGGACGUGCUAAUCUGCGAUAAGCGUCGGUAAGGUGAUAUGAACCGUUAUAACCGGCGAUUUCCGAAUGGGGAAACCCAGUGUGUUUCGACACACUAUCAUUAACUGAAUCCAUAGGUUAAUGAGGCGAACCGGGGGAACUGAAACAUCUAAGUACCCCGAGGAAAAGAAAUCAACCGAGAUUCCCCCAGUAGCGGCGAGCGAACGGGGAGCAGCCCAGAGCCUGAAUCAGUGUGUGUGUUAGUGGAAGCGUCUGGAAAGGCGCGCGAUACAGGGUGACAGCCCCGUACACAAAAAUGCACAUAUUGUGAGCUCGAUGAGUAGGGCGGGACACGUGGUAUCCUGUCUGAAUAUGGGGGGACCAUCCUCCAAGGCUAAAUACUCCUGACUGACCGAUAGUGAACCAGUACCGUGAGGGAAAGGCGAAAAGAACCCCGGCGAGGGGAGUGAAAAAGAACCUGAAACCGUGUACGUACAAGCAGUGGGAGCCUCUUUAUGGGGUGACUGCGUACCUUUUGUAUAAUGGGUCAGCGACUUAUAUUCUGUAGCAAGGUUAACCGAAUAGGGGAGCCGAAGGGAAACCGAGUCUUAACUGGGCGUUAAGUUGCAGGGUAUAGACCCGAAACCCGGUGAUCUAGCCAUGGGCAGGUUGAAGGUUGGGUAACACUAACUGGAGGACCGAACCGACUAAUGUUGAAAAAUUAGCGGAUGACUUGUGGCUGGGGGUGAAAGGCCAAUCAAACCGGGAGAUAGCUGGUUCUCCCCGAAAGCUAUUUAGGUAGCGCCUCGUGAACUCAUCUCGGGGGGUAGAGCACUGUUUCGGCAAGGGGGUCAUCCCGACUUACCAACCCGAUGCAAACUGCGAAUACCGGAGAAUGUUAUCACGGGAGACACACGGCGGGUGCUAACGUCCGUCGUGAAGAGGGAAACAACCCAGACCGCCAGCUAAGGUCCCAAAGUCAUGGUUAAGUGGGAAACGAUGUGGGAAGGCCCAGACAGCCAGGAUGUUGGCUUAGAAGCAGCCAUCAUUUAGAUGUAACGGGGCUAAACCAUGCACCGAAGCUGCGGCAGCGACACUAUGUGUUGUUGGGUAGGGGAGCGUUCUGUAAGCCUGUGAAGGUGUACUGUGAGGUAUGCUGGAGGUAUCAGAAGUGCGAAUGCUGACAUAAGUAACGAUAAAGCGGGUGAAAAGCCCGCUCGCCGGAAGACCAAGGGUUCCUGUCCAACGUUAAUCGGGGCAGGGUGAGUCGACCCCUAAGGCGAGGCCGAAAGGCGUAGUCGAUGGGAAACAGGUUAAUAUUCCUGUACUUGGUGUUACUGCGAAGGGGGGACGGAGAAGGCUAUGUUGGCCGGGCGACGGUUGUCCCGGUUUAAGCGUGUAGGCUGGUUUUCCAGGCAAAUCCGGAAAAUCAAGGCUGAGGUGUGAUGACGAGGCACUACGGUGCUGAAGCAACAAAUGCCCUGCUUCCAGGAAAAGCCUCUAAGCAUCAGGUAACAUCAAAUCGUACCCCAAACCGACACAGGUGGUCAGGUAGAGAAUACCAAGGCGCUUGAGAGAACUCGGGUGAAGGAACUAGGCAAAAUGGUGCCGUAACCGGGUGAAGGAACUAGGCAAAAUGGUGCCGUAACUUCGGGAGAAGGCACGCUGAUAUGUAGGUGAAGUCCCUCGCGGAUGGAGCUGAAAUCAGUCGAAGAUACCAGCUGGCUGCAACUGUUUAUUAAAAACACAGCACUGUGCAAACACGAAAGUGGACGUAUACGGUGUGACGCCUGCCCGGUGCCGGAAGGUUAAUUGAUGGGGUUAGCGCAAGCGAAGCUCUUGAUCGAAGCCCCGGUAAACGGCGGCCGUAACUAUAACGGUCCUAAGGUAGCGAAAUUCCUUGUCGGGUAAGUUCCGACCUGCACGAAUGGCGUAAUGAUGGCCAGGCUGUCUCCACCCGAGACUCAGUGAAAUUGAACUCGCUGUGAAGAUGCAGUGUACCCGCGGCAAGACGGAAAGACCCCGUGAACCUUUACUAUAGCUUGACACUGAACAUUGAGCCUUGAUGUGUAGGAUAGGUGGGAGGCUUAGAAGUGUGGACGCCAGUCUGCAUGGAGCCGACCUUGAAAUACCACCCUUUAAUGUUUGAUGUUCUAACGUUGACCCGUAAUCCGGGUUGCGGACAGUGUCUGGUGGGUAGUUUGACUGGGGCGGUCUCCUCCUAAAGAGUAACGGAGGAGCACGAAGGUUGGCUAAUCCUGGUCGGACAUCAGGAGGUUAGUGCAAUGGCAUAAGCCAGCUUGACUGCGAGCGUGACGGCGCGAGCAGGUGCGAAAGCAGGUCAUAGUGAUCCGGUGGUUCUGAAUGGAAGGGCCAUCGCUCAACGGAUAAAAGGUACUCCGGGGAUAACAGGCUGAUACCGCCCAAGAGUUCAUAUCGACGGCGGUGUUUGGCACCUCGAUGUCGGCUCAUCACAUCCUGGGGCUGAAGUAGGUCCCAAGGGUAUGGCUGUUCGCCAUUUAAAGUGGUACGCGAGCUGGGUUUAGGUAGCUAAAUGCGGAAGAGAUAAGUGCUGAAAGCAUCUAAGCACGAAACUUGCCCCGAGAUGAGUUCUCCCUGACGAAGGAACGUUGAAGACGACGACGUUGAUAGGCCGGGUGUGUAAGCGCAGCGAUGCGUUGAGCUAACCGGUACUAAUGAACCGUGAGGCUUAACCUU
rnacentral:rRNA from 1 species